CCUCCUCCUCCUCCUCCCGCUCCCGCUCCCGCUCUUUCUAGACGGGGCGGGCGGGCAAGCGAGAGGAGGGAGUCCGCGGCUCAGCGCCCGGCUCUGCAAAAGAGAGAAAGGAAGGGACAGGGAAGCAUCCAAUUCAUCUGAUUCAGAGGUGAUGUCUGACUGAAGCAAGUGAAUGCUUCGAGCUGUUUCCAGCUGAGAGAUGAGUCAUCAGGAAAAGGGAAAGAAAGGAAAGUAACAACUCAACAUAAAAAUGCAUAACUCAUGGUCCUCCAGGUGCUGAACCCUGACAUCCAAGAAGAUCCAACAGCACAGAGAACAGUGAAGAAUGCUGGGAAAGGUGUCACAGGUAAGCUGAUUGAAAGAAGACACAAGAGUUUGUUUUUAUACACAACAGUGGCAGCAAGACUUUUAUAUGCACAGAGUUGGAAAGAUACACAAAUUCUCACACCUGAAGAGUGGAUCAUGAGACUAAUGGAACUGGCACAGGUGGCAAAAUUGACUACUUUGAUGAAAGACAAAAGUUUUUCUAGGUUUGUUUCUACUAGGAGAUCAUGUUGAAUGUCUUGGUUGAGUGAGAUGAAAAUGAAGUUUUGGUUUUAGAAAGUGAUAAUUAGAUUUGUUAUAACUAUAUAAAUAUUGGGAAUUUUUAUUAUUACUAGAUGUAUAUUUUUUAAUGUUUAUGUUUAAACAGAAAAAGUUAUUUUUAUAUAUCUAAUUUUUGUGUUUUUAUGAUUAUUUGGUUUGUAUGUUGUUUAUAUGGUGUUUUUAUUUUAAUCUAGAGUAAGUAGUUAUUUUGUUAUAUAUUUGUAUCUGUAUUUUUUUUUGUAUUGUAUUGUAUUGUAAGUCAAAAGUCAAUUUUUGUACCUCUUUCCACCCUUUUUUCUUCUUUUUAACUUUUUUCCCUUUAAUCCCUUUGUCUUUUUAAAACAUUUUCAUAUUUGUUACUUUGUAUUUUAAUUGUCUUUGAAAUUGGGUAAAGUUUGUUUUUUAAAAAACCAAAUAAAGCAUUGAAUAAAUAGCAACAAUAUAAUCCAAUAGCAUCACAUCAAUUUCACCUCCAUACAAACAACACAACAGUUCUUUGAUGUCCCAGUGACAAUUGUGAAGGUCUGUGGGAAUCUGAGUUGUGAAAUUCAUCUAAGGUAGGAAUCCUUUAAAUAAGUGCUUCUUAACUUUAGGUACUCUAAGCAAUCUGGACUUCAAAUCCCAGAAUUCUCUCACCAAUAUGCUAGGGAAUUCUGGAAGCUGAAGUCCACAUAUCUUACCAAAGUUGAGAAACACUGCUUUAAGCAUUGCAAGAUUCUUUAUUACCUAUAUUAAUAUUAAUACAUAGUAAGCAAAUCAUACAGGCAAUAGAGGUUGCCAUUUGUUAAAGUUAUUGAACUAAAAAUCGAUUAUACUGUAUAUCUCUGAUCAGUUUUAUUUGUGAUUGCAAACUACAAGACACCAGUAAAAGCACUAAAUGUUUUAUUU